UCCUGCGGAGAUGCCUGCUCGUCCGAGCAUGGUAGGACUGAAAACGAAACCAGCCGGAGGUGAAGCUCCUGGGGAGGUUCCUCCAGAGAUGUCAGAUGAGAUCCCUGAUGGGCUCAUUAAUGCCGAUCUUCUGGGGGAACGCCUCUGAAGAAAAUGGCUCAGUGGUGGCAGAUCAAGUCGUCCGCUCUGGCUGUCAAGUCGGAACGGCUCCAACAGGUUCCUGCUCUCAAGCGGGAGCUUGAGGAGAAGGACGACCUGAUCGCUGCGCUCGCGGAGCAGCUAGCUGCAGCUCGUGAGAGCGCCACUGGUUCCUCCCGUCAACAUCAAGAGGAGCUUGCUCGGCUCAAGAGUGAGUACUUUUUCUCAGUAUUUUGCACAAAUCUUGUGCUGCUUUUUGCCCUUAGGCUUUACAAUCUUGCCCUGUAGGGGAGAGAGAGAGAGAGAGAGAGAGAGAGAGAGAGAGAGAGAGAGAGAGAGAGAGAGAUCAGGCUCUUCGAUAUUGUGCAAAACUUCGUGGGUUCAAUGCCGAUCUUGGAGAGUACAAAAAGACCAUAGAGCAGCAGCUAGAGCAAGCUGAUAAGAAGAUCGCCAAGCAGCUCCAUACCAUCCAGAAGCUGAACCACGGCAAGGACUGGAGGGAUGAAGAGAUCUUCAACUUGGAAGAAGCAGGUCGUGCUGUGGUCAACAUGGUACAACCACUUUGACUGGGUUACCAUGACUCUCGGUCUGUCUUGGCGUGGUUGAAGGAUGUUCCAGGAUGGUUGAGAGACUCGUGGAGGAAGAAGUCCAGUAGCGGAUAGACCGGAAGCUUGAUAUGGGCCAAUUGUGUAUAAACUUUUGCCACUUCUAGUCUAGACAUAUAUAAUGCCUUUGCGAUAAUGUGGUUGCGUUUCUUGUUUGCUUGUCGUUCUGUGUUGAGAUGGGUUCAGUUUCGCCCUUUUUACUGCUUGCUCAUGGCAUGCUUCCCAUAAA